AUGGGUAAGACACGUGGUAUGGGAGCUGGGCGCAAGCUCAAGACCCACCGCAGGAACCAGAGGUGGGCUGACAAGGCAUACAAGAAGAGCCACUUGGGUAACGAGUGGAAGAAACCCUUCGCCGGGUCAUCUCACGCCAAGGGCAUUGUUUUGGAGAAGAUCGGUAUUGAGGCCAAGCAGCCUAACUCUGCCAUCCGUAAGUGUGCUCGUGUGCAGCUUGUGAAGAACGGAAAGAAGAUUGCUGCCUUCGUUCCCAAUGAUGGUUGCCUGAACUUCAUCGAGGAGAAUGACGAGGUGCUGAUUGCUGGAUUCGGUCGUAAGGGGCAUGCCGUGGGAGAUAUUCCCGGUGUCCGGUUCAAGGUCGUCAAGGUGUCUGGUGUGUCUCUGCUUGCCCUCUUCAAAGAGAAGAAGGAGAAGCCCAGGUCUUAG
rnacentral:rRNA from 1 species